GCUACUGAGAUAUGAUAGAGAGAAUCUUUGCUGGUUGCUCAUAGCCGCAUAAGCAUUCAGCCUCUACAAGAAAUUCACUCGAAGUCCCGAUCUGAUCGAUCUUCUCGAGAGUGCUAGCUCACAUGAAGAUUUUCUUCUUGACUGAUCUAGAUCCUUUGUUCAAAUUUCUAAAAUCUUUAUAGAGAUUGAAGAUGGACUUCUGGAGGAGAUAAAAAGGUUAAAAAAGAUAGAGAAGA
rnacentral:lncRNA from 1 species